UUUCUACCUAAGGUACUCGCGAUUGAGUGUGUUGUAGUGCGGUUGUCAAAAUCGUUAUCUCUGACUCUCUCACUCCACUGACACUGACAUUGUUUAUGUUUUGGUUUUCCUGGCACGGUCCAUUGUUCGUUUGUUAUUGUUUUGGUUUUAGUGGCACGGAGCCAUGCACUCACACUAAUGCAAAGCAAGAUCGCGAGUACCUGUGAUAUACAGCCUUGCUACCAGCGUGACAGCUGCAGCCAUAUUAUUUAUUUUUUUCUCUUUCUCGCCUGAUGCUUUGACAGCUAGAUCUGUCAGGCUGAUUGUCAAACCCUGAUGUUUUGUUUUGAAUGCCUUCGAUCGGUUCAUUACACGUGGUAGCUGGUUACAUUUACCCUGAAGGAACCUACCACAAUCCGGCCGAAACCGACUAACAAUCAUGGUAAGUGGUUGUCAAAGUAAAAGCACACUCGUCAUUUGUUAUACCUAGUCGCGGUCAUUUUAUCUUUUCUAGCUGCCGGAGUUUGCUUGACCCGUUCCGGAAAAAAACAUUAAGUGGGUUUCAGAAAAUUCCCCCCCUCCCCCGUCAACGAACGGGUGCGUAUAAUCGCGAGGAUCGUACGGAAACUCAAGCCGGGUCGGCAUUCAACAGAACAGUUAACUUGUUGUCAGCGGCGGAUGUGCAAUUCAAGGUUCCAACGGUGCAGUUGCGGUUUUGAUCCACAUUUACGACAAGAACAACGCGGCCUGCUCGAGGUUUAAGGGGUUGAAGAGAAAGCUGGAUGAACUGCGGGUAUGGAGAAAAGCGCAAGAACUGUGGCCUACUGCUCGAAGCUACCUCCCAGACGUCACCGAAAUUUAUCGUCCCUGGAGGGAUAAACGACCAGACGACCUCUUUCGGCUGGCAGCAGGUCGCUAUCUGGUCGUUGAACGCAUACGGGUGGCCUUGUCUCCCUUGAAAUUCAUCGCGUUGCCAAAAUAGGCCGCCCUCAUCUCUGGGAUGAACAAGACGAUUGAAUCAGGCCUAACACCUGGCAGUCCGACCACAGUACGACGUUCCGGAACGACAGUUUCAACGCUGGACCUUGCCCACCAGCUUAGACUGCAAUUUCUACCUGAGCAGCUCGAGUUGGUCUUGAUGAUGACCGGUGAGAGUUGGCCCAGCACAUCGAAACACUAGCCGAUCUUCGACAGCACACGCCGAAGCGUCGAAGACUACCCUCAGUUUGGUUGUGGAACUCGAGGGGCGAAGGAAGGCGUGGUGGGGCAUUAAGUAGCGACUUCAGUCAGGCUUGAACUGUUUCUCCAGCUACAGGAACCACAGGAUGCUCGGGUCGGCCAGCUGAAUGUUCGCAGGAAUCGGUCAUUCGGACGAGCUAAACGGGGCCGACGGAAUCAUCUCGGUUAUCUUGAGGGCGAUAAGCCACUGCACGUUAACAGCGAAGCUGUGGAGCG